AUACGUAGGGGGCGAGCGUUGCCCGGACUUACUGGGCGUAAAGCGCACGUAGGCGGCUCCGUAAGUCUGGUGUGAAAUCUCACGGCUCAACCGAGAGGCUGCACCAGAUACUGCGGAGCUCGAGGACAGGAGAGGAGAUCGGAAUUCCCGGUGUAGCGGUGAAAUGCAUUGAUAUCGGGAGGAACACCAGUAGCGAAGGCGGAUCUCUGGCCUGUUUCUGACGCUGAGGUGCGAAAGCUGGGGGAGCGAAAGGGAUUAGAUACCCCUGUAGUCCCAGCCCUAAACGAUGGGUGCUAGGUGUUGGGGAAUUAAUCUUCGGCGCCGCAGCUAACGCAUUAAGCACCCCGCCUGAGGAGUACGGCCGCAAGGUUGAA
rnacentral:rRNA from 1 species